GGAUAUUUGACAAUGUGGGCAACCCUGAUCCAGCCAUGUCGCGUGUGUGAAGAAGGCCUUUUGGUGGUAAAGCACUUUAAGCAGUGAAGAAGACUCCAUGGUUAAUACCCAUGGACGAUGACAUUAGCUGCAGCAUAAGCACCGGCUAACUCGGUGCCAGCUGCCGCGGUAAUACAGAGGGUGCAAGCGUUAAUCGGAAUUACUGGGCGUAAAGCGAGCGUAGGUGGCUUGAUAAGUCAGAUGUGAAAUCCCCGGGCUUAACCUGGGAACUGCAUCUGAUACUGUUAGGCUAGAAUAGGUGAGAGGAAGGUAGAAUUCCAGGUGUAGCGGUGAAAUGCGUAGAGAUCUGGAGGAAUACCGAUGGCGAAGGCAGCCUUCUGGCAUCAUAUUGACACUGAGGUUCGAAAGCGUGGGUAGCAAAC
rnacentral:rRNA from 1 species